rnacentral:rRNA from 1 species
GAGCCCUGAGGGGGAAAGCGGGGGAUCUUCGGACCUCGCGCUAAGAGAGGAGCCUACGUCCGAUUAGCUAGUUGGCGGGGUAAAGGCCCACCAAGGCGACGAUCGGUAGCUGGUCUGAGAGGACGACCAGCCACACUGGGACUGAGACACGGCCCAGACUCCUACGGGAGGCAGCAGUGGGGAAUUUUUCGCAAUGGGGGCAACCCUGACGAAGCAAUGCCGCGUGGAUGAAGAAGGCCUUCGGGUUGUAAAGUCCUUUCGUGGAGGACGAAAAGGUGGGUUCUAAUACAAUCUGCUAUUGACGUGAAUCCAAGAAGAAGCACCGGCUAACUCCGUGCCAGCAGCCGCGGUAAUACGGGGGGUGCAAGCGUUAAUCGGAAUCACUGGGCGUAAAGGGUGCGUAGGCGGUACGUUAGGUCUGUCGUGAAAUCCCCGGGCUCAACCUGGGAAUGGCGGUAGAAACCGGCGCACUAGAGUAUG